ACCUCCAUAAAGUGAUAAUUAGAUUAGAAGAAUUCCUUAGACUUUGCCAUUGAACAGAUGGAAAUACUUUUCUCAGGCCAAUGAUAGUAUAGAGUUUUUAUUAAAAAAUAAGUAUUCAGAACUGGUUAGUACUUUAAUUACAAGAUCUCAUCGACAACUCUGGAAAAGCAACCAAUGUUUUAAGAUAAACCAUUUUUUUGUAAUAAACAUAGAUGAUUUGAAAACCUAGAGCGAUCUUCCUAAUAUACAUUAACUUUGAAGCAAGUGGAUGAUUCACACACGCAGAAAAAAAAAUCAACCGAGUUUCCUAACAGCGUCUACACGCGACUGUAAAAUACUUAAAGCUGGACAAACCCAUUGAAGACAACUGCAUUGUAAACCUUGCCAUUUAUAAGAACCAAUUUUAGAAUUGCAUUUUGGACAAUCAAAUCGACCUUCCAAAUUUCCCAACUCCAAUUCUGGCUGCAUCCAGCGAAUAGGUUCCAAAAAGUAAUGAGUACAUCUUGUAUGAGAAUAAUUAUUUUCAUCUUUCGGUUCAUGCGAUACCAGAUAAUCAGAGCUGGCAAGGACAAACCGACAUUUUUUACAGCGAAGCUCUAAUUGUCCUGCACGGGCACGGACAGUCUCAGCGUAAGCGACUUCAGAUGGUACCCUAGUAUUCAACACCGCGAAAUCACCAUAUCUUCUGAACAGCCAUUGGCGGUAUGGGCGCAAACUUCGAUCAAGUUGGUAAUUACACUCAAAGUAUACGCGAAGUUGACGAAGAAAAUUAGCAUUAGGAGAUAUUCCAGAGCGCCUUUCAUUAAUAUGGGAGAGUGCUUCCUCAGUAUUCCAAUUGUUUUCCUUCAUCAAGUAUGCAGCCACUAAGGUUACGGACCUUGAUAUGCCCGCAAAGCAGUGAACCAAAACUUUGGCAUUUUUAGAUAGUGCAAAAGCGAUGAAUUUAUUUGACUUUUCGAAGUAUUGCAGAAUAUUUUGAGAACUAGAGUCUUCAAUUUGCAACCAAAGGUGUUGUUGUUCAGGAACCGACAAAUUGGGAUUAAUACUCAUAGCGCUUAAUGUAUAAUCGAUCCCUUUGUCUGAAGUAGACACUAGCUCUGACGCCGUUUUCCAACUACUAAUAUACAAAUUUUUUGAUAUUUCCGACAAGUCAUUGAGGCUGUCAGGAUAAUGCACCUCGUCUAUAGCUUUCUGUACAUCGUUGCUAGACUGUAAAAACCCUUCUGCUUCUUGAACGGAUGAGUGAAUUUCAUCAAACUGAGGUUGCCAUGCACUUUUGUUGCUCAUUCUAUUAUUAAGUUUCUGAUUUACCACUUUGAAACCGAAAGAAACAUAAAAACAUGAAAAACACUUAACUUUUCCAAUUACUCUAAUUAUUUCGCUUGGCAAACAACCAAAACCAAAAAAUGCUCUUUUUGAAUUAUUUUAAAUAUAUCAAUUAGUUUUCCCUUUUAUU